rnacentral:rRNA from 1 species
CCUACGGGAGGCAGCAGUGGGGAAUUUUGGACAAUGGGGGCAACCCUGAUCCAGCCAUUCCGCGUGAGUGAAGAAGGCCUUCGGGUUGUAAAGCUCUUUCGCAAGGGAAGAAAACUUAUGAUCGAAUAAAUCAUGAGGUUGACGGUACCUUGAUAAGAAGCACCGGCUAACUACGUGCCAGCAGCCGCGGUAAUACGUAGGGUGCGAGCGUUAAUCGGAAUUACUGGGCGUAAAGCGUGCGCAGGCGGUUUUGUAAGUCGGAUGUGAAAUCCCCGGGCUCAACCUGGGAACUGCGUUCGAAACUGCAAGGCUAGAGUGUGUCAGAGGGGGGUAGAAUUCCACGUGUAGCAGUGAAAUGCGUAGAGAUGUGGAGGAAUACCAAUGGCGAAGGCAGCCCCCUGGGAUAACACUGACGCUCAUGCACGAAAGCGUGGGGAGCAAACAGGAUUAGAUACCCUGGUAGUCCACGCCCUAAACGAUGUCAACUAGUUGUUGGUAGAGUAAAAUCUAUGAGUAACGUAGCUAACGCGUGAAGUUGACCGCCUGGGGAGUACGGUCGCAAGNUUAAAACNCAAAGAUAGUCGCGNGNGAGNGCGACGACGACGACGACGGAGGAGGAGG